CCUACGGGAGGCAGCAGUGGGGAAUAUUGCACAAUGGGGGAAACCCUGAUGCAGCGACGCCGCGUGAGUGAAGAAGUAAUUCGUUACGUAAAGCCCUAUCAGCAGGGAAGAAACACUGACCUUAUGGUCAGCAGACGGUACCUGAGUAAGAAGCCGCGGCUAACUACGUGCCAGCAGCCGCGGUAUUACGGAGGGGGCAAGCGUUAACCGGAUGUACUGGGUGGAAGGGGAGCGUAGGCGGGGCACCAAGUCCGAAGUGAAAUGCCAGGGCUUAACAACGGAAUUGCUGUUGAAACUGGCGAACUAGAGUACGGGAGAGGUAAGUGGAAUUCCUGGUGUAGCGGUAAAAUGCGUAGAGAUUAAGAGGAACACUGAUGGCGAAGGCGACUUGCUAGAACAUAACUGACGUUGAGGCUCGAAAGCGUGGGGAGCAAACAGGAUUAGAUACCCCGGUAGUC
rnacentral:rRNA from 1 species